UGCAAGGGCUAUUGGAUCUGAUGGAUCCG
rnacentral:sRNA from 1 species